CAGCCAGCCAGGCUUCUUACCCAUUUAAAGUUACAGAAUAGACUGAGAUCGUUUCGGCCCCAAGACCUCUUCCCGCUGAAAUGUGGGUGUAGUUGGAGAGUAGCUGGGACAGACAGGAGGGUCCGUAAGUGGUGGGGGUGAAGAGGUGAGAGAGACUGGUGAGGGUCUCACUGAGGUCUGUGAGUUUGUAGGUGUUUCUGGGGUGUGAGAGACCGACUCCCGCUGAAAUCUGGGCAUAGUUGGAGAGUAGCUGGGACAGACAGGAGAGUCAUUGAUGGCUGGGGGUGAGCUGCUGGAUGAUGGCAGUAAGAACAUAUGGUAUAUUAUUCAUGAAUGAGGUGACUGUGAAGAAUCUCCAGAGGAGGACACGGGAGAGCACAAUGACAUGAGUGAUUGUCCUGCUUGGUUAGGAAAGGGAAAUGUAAAGUUGUGAAAUUCUGUUGAUGAGGGAUGUGAGAGUGGUGAAGUCCUGCGGGAUGAUGUAGAGUACUUCCACAUCCCUGGUGAGGAGCUGCCCCUUGGGUCUGAAUUUCUGGGAGGGGAGAGGGAGAAGCUGGGUGAGGCAGGCAUGAAUCUUGAGGAGUCAGGGCUGAGGGACCGCUCAUAAUCUCCCGAGACCUGUGAGUCUCUGGGAGACUCAUAGGUACAUGGGGCUGACUCCCGCAGAAACCUGGGGAUGGUUGGAGAGUAACUGGGAGACACAGGAGAGUCCAUGACGGCUGGGGGUGAAGAGAGGAAAGACAUAGGCGAGGAGCACCGUGAGGCUCGUGAGUUUGUAGGUGAUUCCUGGGUGUUGGGGGCUGACUCCAGAUGAAAUCUGGAGUUUUUUGGAGAGUAGCUGGGAGACACGGGAGACUCCCCGAGAGCUGGGGGUGAGCUGCUGGGUGAUGGCAGUAAGAACAUGUGGUAUAUUAUUGAUGAACGUGGUGACUCUAAAGAAUCCCCAGAGGAGGACACGGGAGAGCCCAAUGGCUUCAUUGGUUGCCCAUCACGGUGAGGAAAGGGAAAUGGGAGCUUGUGGGAUUCUGCUGAUGACAGAGGUGAGUGUGGUGAAGCCCUAGAGGAUGGUGAAUGGUAGCUCCAGGUCCCUGGUGAGGAGCUUCCUCUUAAGUCUGAGUUUCUGGGAGGGGAGAAGGAGAAGCUGGGUGAAGCUAGCAUGGAUUUUGGGGAGUCCGGGCUAGGGGACCGUUCAUAAGAAGAGCCAGACAAGACCCCACUGUUCUUAGACGCAGACAUGAUUAGGAAACCUGCAGCUCCCAGGGACCCCUACCAAUUUUCUAACCCCCAGAAUGAAGGAGUUUGUGUGUGUGUUUAUGUGUGUGUGUGUUUUUGUCUGUUGUGACAUAUGUGCUCCUUAAGAAAAUGGAAAUGAACAAACCAAUGUGACAGACAGAGAUUUACUUACCCAAGUGUACUGUCCUAUCCUCUGAAUCUACUUCCAAGUCGUAAGACGCUGUAAGCUCCAGGUCCACGCUGAGCCGGCAGAACGCUCCAGCCGCUGCUCUGCUCUGCGAAGAUCUGAGCUCGAGGCCCCCCAACAGGGCGGGUUUAAAUAGCCUUGGGCGCAGCCUGGCAGCGGAAAGGGCGGAGCUUCACUCCUCCUUUCCAUGAGUCACCCCCAACUUUCCCAGGCUACACCUCGUAGGAAACUGUUCCCCUGAUUUGAUGUCUUGUGACAUAUUUGGGACAAUCUGAGAACUUACAAGCUUUGUUGCUCAACUACAUUAUGAAUUAAAUGCACUUAAACACUGAAAACCAUGUAGUGGUUCUGUGGUUCUCACAUUGUGGUUUUGACACCAGCAGCAUCCUUGCAACACACAGACCCCGGAGAUCCACAGAUCUGUGUGGUAACAAGCCCUCCCACUGACCCUGAUGCAUGGCAGCUUAAGAAUUACCCGUAUAAGUGAAAAGACUUUUAAGAAAAAGUGGUGAUAUACGUUGUGUAAAUAUUCUUCUGCUCUGGAACAAUGUAGAGACUCCGGGGCCAGUUGGGUGGAACAUUUAUUGGAUGAGGGUGCUUGGGUUAGUAAUAUCAAGGUGUGGCUCCAGAUAAUUCAAUCAUCUAAUUAAGUUUGCAGUUAUGCUAAUCUGUUUUAAAAUUCAGUUUGUGUAAAUUCUUUUACUCAGACUGAGAAUGGCAAUGCCUCAACCCCAAUUUCCAGGGAGGGUUGAGAGCCUCAGGUUGAGUUGAUCACCAAUAGCCUAUGGUUUUACCCAUGAUGCCUAUAGAAUGAGAUCUCCAUAAAAACUGAAAAGGACUGGGUUUAGAGAGCUUCUAGAUAAAACUUCCUGGAAGGUAGUGUGCCCCUCCCCCCAUGCAGGGCCCCAUCAAUCUUUUUUCUGAAUUUUUUGCAAUAUCCGCUAUAAUAAAAUGGUAAAUGUAAGUGUUUCCCUGCGUGCUGUGAGCUGUUCGAGCAAAUUAAUGCAACUAAAUCAGGGGUGGUGAAAACCUGAUUUAUAGCCAGUUGGUCAGAAGCACAGGUAAAACAACCUAGGGCUUGCCAUUGGUAUUAGAGUGGGAGGCCAGUCUUGUGGAAGUCAGCCCUGUGUAAUCUAACGCUAUGUCCAUGUAGAUAGCCUCAUAAUUGAAUUAGAAGACACCCAACUGAUUUCCAGAGCAGAAUGCAUUGUGUGCUUGACUGACCGAGAGAAAUCCCCAGACAUGCUGUCACAGAAAUCUUCUGUGUUAAUUGUUGUGAUAUGAGAGCGGAGGAAAAACAGUUUUUGUUUUUUUCACUCAGCCUAAAAUGUAAACGGGUCUAUUUUCUCACACUAUUGAGGAUCACUUGAUUUACAAUAAAAAUGUUUAGUCUUUGAUAUAUAAAAAGGAUGUUGG
rnacentral:lncRNA from 1 species